UGCAACGUGUAGGAACCCCUGGUGUUAUUUACCGUUGUCGGAGGUCCAACAGAAACGUAUCCUAAUCCAAAAUAGCAACACCCCCAUCAGUCGUGAAAUGACUACAGGGUGCACGUGUUUUAGACACAUGACAUGGAUGUGGGUUUGGACUGGUGAGAGAAUUUGCUUUCUGUUCUCUGUGCCUUUGUCUCUCCUCUGGCUGCUGCUGUUGGGCCCUCGUCUCUUCAUAUUCAUGUAUAACUUGCAGCUGCUGGCUGAUGCUGCCAAUCCGCCGUAUUCUCAGUGGUGAAUAGAUAAUCCGCUCUGUAAAAUACUCCUGUGGGUCUUCGCUCUCAACUGGAGCUGCUGCCGAACUGGUGGAGGCAGAAUUCAAGGGUGCACACUCCAUUUUCCACUGGCCCAAGGAGGAAGAGCUGCAAAACAGCAACAUGGCAGUAAGGCAAUCAACUACACGACAUAAACCGUAUUCGUUACAGCAUCCACAGAUCUCGAGUAGUUUGCUCUCUCAAAAAGUUUUUCUCCCCCGGAUCACUGAUGUGACGCUGCGACGAGGCUUUCCUGCCUCCACAAUAAUCUCGGUUGCCCUGUGGAUUUCUCUCCUCAGGCACUUGUUGGAGAAAGGAAGGAGGAAAAAGGAGGAGUGGGAGCAGGUGAAGGACCCGUCUUUGGCGUGGAGCCAAUAAGCAGCCCGGUUCGAGCAAGGAAGAGGCCCUUGAGUGUCGACAGCCUUUCGGAGUGUCAGUUGAAGUAGCGAGAGUGAGGAAUGCUUCAACACCUGAGAGCAGCACAACAAACUGUUAAUCCUUUUGCAUGCUGCUGUAGUUAGCCAGGUGACCUUGGCUCUGUGUGAGAGGGAAAUUGCCGCAGGCCUGUACACCUCAUGCUGGGAGAUAUUGCUGUUAGGUGCACAGACACUGCCGUUGAAGACCAACAUGCACACUGCGUAUUCAAAGCAAUCUCAUGUGCCAAUCACUGUACCCAAAAGCUAGUGAUAUAAAGUCUACCAAAGACUCUUUUUCUGUAAGUUUUGAAAUAUAUUUAAGCAAUAAAGUAUGAGAG
ensembl:lncRNA